rnacentral:rRNA from 1 species
UACGGAGGGGGCUAGCGUUGUUCGGAAUUACUGGGCGUAAAGCGCACGUAGGCGGCUUUGUAAGUUAGAGGUGAAAGCCCAGGGCUUAACUCUGGAAUUGCCUUUAAGACUGCAUCGCUAGAAUCGUGGAGAGGUGAGUGGAAUUCCGAGUGUAGAGGUGAAAUUCGUAGAUAUUCGGAAGAACACCAGUGGCGAAGGCGACUCACUGGACACGAAUUGACGCUGAGGUGCGAAAGCGUGGGGAGCAAACAGG